AGUGGGGGAUAACACAUCGAAAGAUGUGCUAAUACCGCAUAUGCCCUGAGGGGGAAAGGGGGGGAUCCGCAAGGACCUCUUGCUUUCGGAGUGGCCGAUAUCGGAUUAGCUAGUUGGUGAGGUAAAGGCUCACCAAGGCGACGAUCCGUAGCUGGUCUGAGAGGACGACCAGUCACACUGGAACUGAGACACGGUCCAGACUCCUACGGGAGGCAGCAGUGGGGAAUUUUGGACAAUGGGCGCAAGCCUGAUCCAGCCAUACCGCGUGAGUGAAGAAGGCCUUCGGGUUGUAAAGCUCUUUCAGCCGGAAAGAAAUCACACUUAUUAACACUGAGUGUGGAUGACGGUACCGGAAGAAGAAGCACCGGCUAACUACGUGCCAGCAGCCGCGGUAAUACGUAGGGUGCGAGCGUUAAUCGGAAUUACUGGGCGUAAAGCGUGCGCAGGCGGCUUUUUAAGCCAGAUGUGAAAUCCCCGGGCUUAACCUGGGAACUGCAUUUGGAACUGGAAGGCUAGAGUGUAGAAGAGGGGGGUAGAAUUCCA
rnacentral:rRNA from 1 species